GACGAACGCUGGCGGCGUGCUUAACACAUGCAAGUCGAACGGAAAGGCCCUGCUUUUGUGGGGUGCUCGAGUGGCGAACGGGUGCGUAACACGUGCGUAACCUGCCCUUGACUUUGGGAUAACUUCAGGAAACUGGGGCUAAUACCGGAUAGGAGCUCCUGCUGCAUGGUGGGGGUUGGAAGGUUUCGGCGGUUGGGGAUGGACUCGCGGCUUAUCAGCUUGUUGGUGGGGUAGUGGCUUACCAAGGCUUUGACGGGUAGCCGGCCUGAGAGGGUGACCGGCCACAGUGGGACAGAGAUACGGCCCAGACUCCUACGGGAGGCAGCAGUGGGGAAUAUUGCACAAUGGGCGGAAGCCGGAUGCAGCAACGCCGCGUGCGGGAUGACGGCCUUCUGGUUGUAAACCGCUUUCGCCUGUGACGAAGCGUUAGUGACGGUAAUGGGUAAAGAAGCACCGGCUAACUACGUG
rnacentral:rRNA from 1 species